UCCGCCGCCCCCCUCUGAGGCUCGCCUCCACCGCUCCCUCGAAGGUCAACGAGCUUCGUCACCCACCUCCGCCGCUCACCUCCGCGGCUCACCCACGAAAUCGGAGGUGUCCGGGCCGACGCCCUACGGUUCGGCCUCCAUGGCGUCAGGAGCAAGAUCGUCGGAUCUCACCCUCUUGAAUCCGCCUACCAAUCAGUAACCCCUUUUUUUUUCUCCCUUUCCGUUGGUGCGGGCGGGGGACUUUCUAUUCGCUCUUUGUACUGCCCUCUCGUCUCGGGGAUGUUGGAAUUAAGCGGCAUUGGGUUCGCGUCGAUGUUGGUAUCCUGAAUCGUUGCUCAUCAAGAAGAUGUAGCGACUGAUUAUCGAGACGAAACGAGGUGUUUUUAUCUGUGCAGUAAUUGCGGAUGGUAAUCCGGUAGUUCCCAUAUGCAGAUGUUAUUUGGUUUCUGAAAUUCUAUUUCCAGUUGCAGUGCCCCUUGAGGCGUCUCCCCGUGGUUGCCCUCUCGGGUCUUUUUGUAUUGCUGUUGCCAUUGUUGAUAUUGAUAUCACUGAUUGGCAAGCUAUUUCAAAAUUCAAAGGCCCUAGUCUGUCAGCAGCCACUAAGGAGAUUCCCCAAGAGGAGAUUCUUUGCUGGUUUAGUUUUUUGUUGUAAUUGAAGGUGGAUAAAGCAGGGGCGACUGUGCUGUUUGAGGAUCCAACAAAGGGGAGCAACAAUGUGGGAGUGGUGGUGAGUCCAGUUCGUCUUGCCAGCCUUGGCAAAUUCGGGAGUCCUCAAUUUGUCGCGGACAAGCUCAUACGAGCUGAAAAGCGCAAAGUAGGUGCUGCUUCAAUUGAUUGCUUGGUUUUGAAUGUGGAAUGUCCUAACAGUACUGCAUCUUAAGCCUCUUAUGUUUUGGGGCAAUCGAUUAUUUGGUAGAUAAUUUGGUUCUUGGUAGAGUUGCUGAGAAUUGUGUCUUGGAGCUAUCUUAUUGAGGGGAAACAUUGAAGUGAAGUAUCUUUCUGCAGUGCUGAAGAAUUAUUCCUUCGUAUGGUCACCAUACGAAUUUCUUACUCAAAAGGCUGGAAAUGUUAGCUUCAUAUCUUAAUCAAGAUGAUGAACUCAUUUGUGAGUAAA